GGGUUGUGAGGUUAAGCGACUAAGCGUACACGGUGGAUGCCCUGGCAGUCAGAGGCGAUGAAGGACGUGCUAAUCUGCGAAAAGCGUCGGUAAGGUGAUAUGAACCGUUAUAACCGGCGAUGUCCGAAUGGGGAAACCCAGUGCAAUUCGUUGCACUAUCGUUAACUGAAUACAUAGGUUAACGAGGCGAACCGGGGGAACUGAAACAUCUAAGUACCCCGAGGAAAAGAAAUCAACCGAGAUUCCCCCAGUAGCGGCGAGCGAACGGGGAGCAGCCCAGAGUCUGAAUCAGCUUGUGUGUUAGUGGAACGGUCUGGAAAGUCCGACGGUACAGGGUGAUAGUCCCGUACACCAAAAUGCACAGGCUGUGAACUCGAAGAGUAGGGCGGGACACGUGGUAUCCUGUCUGAAUAUGGGGGGACCAUCCUCCAAGGCUAAAUACUCCUGACUGACCGAUAGUGAACCAGUACCGUGAGGGAAAGGCGAAAAGAACCCCGGCGAGGGGAGUGAAAAAGAACCUGAAACCGUGUACGUACAAGCAGUGGGAGCACCUUCGGGUGUGACUGCGUACCUUUUGUAUAAUGGGUCAGCGACUUAUAUUCUGUAGCAAGGUUAACCGUAUAGGGGAGCCGCAGGGAAACCGAGUCUUAACUGGGCGUUAAGUUGCAGGGUAUAGACCCGAAACCCGGUGAUCUAGCCAUGGGCAGGUUGAAGGUUGGGUAACACUAACUGGAGGACCGAACCGACUAAUGUUGAAAAAUUAGCGGAUGACUUGUGGCUGGGGGUGAAAGGCCAAUCAAACCGGGAGAUAGCUGGUUCUCCCCGAAAGCUAUUUAGGUAGCGCCUCGUGAACUCAUCUUCGGGGGUAGAGCACUGUUUCGGCUAGGGGGUCAUCCCGACUUACCAACCCGAUGCAAACUACGAAUACCGAAGAAUGUUAUCACGGGAGACACACGGCGGGUGCUAACGUCCGUCGUGAAGAGGGAAACAACCCAGACCGCCAGCUAAGGUCCCAAAGUCAUGGUUAAGUGGGAAACGAUGUGGGAAGGCACAGACAGCCAGGAUGUUGGCUUAGAAGCAGCCAUCAUUUAAAGAAAGCGUAAUAGCUCACUGGUCGAGUCGGCCUGCGCGGAAGAUGUAACGGGGCUAAACCAUGCACCGAAGCUGCGGCAGCGACACUAUGUGUUGUUGGGUAGGGGAGCGUUCUGUAAGCCUGCGAAGGUGUGCUGUGAGGCAUGCUGGAGGUAUCAGAAGUGCGAAUGCUGACAUAAGUAACGAUAAAGCGGGUGAAAAGCCCGCUCGCCGGAAGACCAAGGGUUCCUGUCCAACGUUAAUCGGGGCAGGGUGAGUCGACCCCUAAGGCGAGGCCGAAAGGCGUAGUCGAUGGGAAACAGGUUAAUAUUCCUGUACUUGGUGUUACUGCGAAGGGGGGACGGAGAAGGCUAUGUUAGCCGGGCGACGGUUGUCCCGGUUUAAGCAUGUAGGCUGGUUAUCCAGGCAAAUCCGGAUAAUCAAGGCUGAGGUGUGAUGACGAGGCACUACGGUGCUGAAGUAACAAAUGCCCUGCUUCCAGGAAAAGCCUCUAAGCAUCAGGUAACAUUAAAUCGUACCCCAAACCGACACAGGUGGUCAGGUAGAGAAUACCAAGGCGCUUGAGAGAACUCGGGUGAAGGAACUAGGCAAAAUGGUGCCGUAACUUCGGGAGAAGGCACGCUGGUGUGUAGGUGAAGUCCCUGCGGAUGGAGCUGAGACCAGUCGAAGAUACCAGCUGGCUGCAACUGUUUAUUAAAAACACAGCACUGUGCAAACACGAAAGUGGACGUAUACGGUGUGACGCCUGCCCGGUGCCGGAAGGUUAAUUGAUGGGGUUAUCCGUAAGGAGAAGCUCUUGAUCGAAGCCCCGGUAAACGGCGGCCGUAACUAUAACGGUCCUAAGGUAGCGAAAUUCCUUGUCGGGUAAGUUCCGACCUGCACGAAUGGCGUAAUGAUGGCCAGGCUGUCUCCACCCGAGACUCAGUGAAAUUGAACUCGCUGUGAAGAUGCAGUGUACCCGCGGCAAGACGGAAAGACCCCGUGAACCUUUACUAUAGCUUGACACUGAACAUUGAGCCUUGAUGUGUAGGAUAGGUGGGAGGCUUUGAAGCGUGGACGCCAGUCUGCGUGGAGCCAACCUUGAAAUACCACCCUUUAAUGUUUGAUGUUCUAACGUUGGCCCCUGACCGGGGUUGCGGACAGUGUCUGGUGGGUAGUUUGACUGGGGCGGUCUCCUCCCAAAGCGUAACGGAGGAGCACGAAGGUUAGCUAAUCCUGGUCGGACAUCAGGAGGUUAGUGCAAUGGCAUAAGCUAGCUUGACUGCGAGCGUGACGGCGCGAGCAGGUGCGAAAGCAGGUCAUAGUGAUCCGGUGGUUCUGAAUGGAAGGGCCAUCGCUCAACGGAUAAAAGGUACUCCGGGGAUAACAGGCUGAUACCGCCCAAGAGUUCAUAUCGACGGCGGUGUUUGGCACCUCGAUGUCGGCUCAUCACAUCCUGGGGCUGAAGUAGGUCCCAAGGGUAUGGCUGUUCGCCAUUUAAAGUGGUACGCGAGCUGGGUUUAGAACGUCGUGAGACAGUUCGGUCCCUAUCUGCCGUGGGCGCUGGAGAAUUGAGGGGGGCUGCUCCUAGUACGAGAGGACCGGAGUGGACGCAUCACUGGUGUUCGGGUUGUCAUGCCAAUGGCACUGCCCGGUAGCUAAAUGCGGAAGAGAUAAGUGCUGAAAGCAUCUAAGCACGAAACUUGCCCCGAGAUGAGUUCUCCCUGAGACUUUAAGUCUCCUGAAGGAACGUUAAAGACGAUGACGUUGAUAGGCCGGGUGUGUAAGCGCAGCGAUGCGUUGAGCUAACCGGUACUAAUGAACCGUGAGGCUUAACCUUACAACGCCGAAG
rnacentral:rRNA from 1 species